GCCGCCGUAGCUCAGUUAGGUAGAGCAGCUGGCUGUUAACCAGCUGGUCGUCGGUUCGAGAACGUCUUGUCUGACUAAACCGGCGGCGCCA
rnacentral:tRNA from 1 species